rnacentral:rRNA from 1 species
CCGCGANUAGCUCAUUACANUAGCCGUUGUUUCUUGGAUCCUCAAUUUACUUGGAUACCUGUGGUAAUUCUAGAGCUAAUACAUGCGACUAAGGGCCGAACUCACGUGACGCUUGCAUUUAUUAGAUCAAGACUAACCGGCUUCGGCCGUUAACUUGGUGACUCUGAAUAACUCAGCUGAUCGCACGGUCUAGUGCCGGCGACAUAUCUUUCAAGUGUCUACCUUAUCAACUGUCGAUGGUAGUUUAUGUGACUACCAUGGUUGUAACGGGUAACGGAGAAUCAGGGUUUGACUCCGGAGAGGGAGCCUGAGAAACGGCUACCACUUCUAAGGAAGGCAGCAGGCGCGCAAAUUACACAAUCUCAGCACGAGGAUGUAGUGACGAAACAUACCGAGGCGAUGCCCUUUCGGGUGUCGUCAUUGGAAUGAGUCGAAUCUAAAAAAUUCGGCAAGGAUCUAGUGGAGGGCAAGUCUGGUGCCAGCAGCCGCGGUAAUUCCAGCUCCGCAAGUGUAUAUCUAUGCUGUUGCGGUUAAAAAGCUCGUAGUUUGAUUCGCGUACUUAGCACGCAGUGUGGCCUUUCGGCUACUACUGUGAUGCGGUACAUUAUCGUCAGUUUGUCGUUGAUGCUCUUCAUUGGGUGUCAGCGGCGGCUGUCAAGUUUACUUUGAACAAAUUAAAGUGCUCAAUACAGGCGUUUCGCUUGUAUAGUUCUGCAUGGAAUAAUAGAAUAGGACUUACGUUCUAUUGUGUUGGUUUUCAGAACGAAAGUAAUGAUUAAGAGGGACAGACGGGGUCAUUCGUACUGCCACGUUAGAGGUGAAAUUCUUGGAUCGUGGCAAGACGAACUACUGCGAAAGCAUUUGACAAGAAUGUUUUCAUUAAUCAAGAACGAA